rnacentral:rRNA from 1 species
UACGUAGGGUGCGAGCGUUAAUCGGAUUUACUGGGCGUAAAGCGUGCGCAGGCGGCCCGUUAAGACAGGUGUGAAAUCCCUGGGCUCAACCUAGGAAUUGCGCUUGUGACUGGCGGGCUCGAGUACGGUAGAGGGGGGUGGAAUUCCUGGUGUAGCAGUGAAAUGCGUAGAGAUCAGGAGGAACACCGAUGGCGAAGGCAGCCCCCUGGGCAUGUACUGACGCUCAUGCACGAAAGCGUGGGGAGCAAACAGG